CCAUGGUGGCGUUUUUGGGGACAGAUGUCCGUGUCGUGGGUUUCCUGGGCCGGCGGCGUGAUCGGUGACUCGCCCUCCUGCCCCAGGGGGA
ensembl:misc_RNA